UACGUAGGGUGCAAGCGUUAAUCGGAAUUACUGGGCGUAAAGCGUGCGCAGGCGGCUUUUGCAAGACAGAUGUGAAAUCCCCGGGCUUAACCUGGGAACUGCAUUUUGUGACUGCAUGGCUGGAGUGCGGCAGAGGGGAUGGAAUUCCGCGUGUAGCAGUGAAAUCGUAGAUAUGCGGAGGAACACCGAUGGCGAAGGCAAUCCCCUGG
rnacentral:rRNA from 1 species